UUGACUCAACGCGGGAAAUCUUACCGGGUCCGGACAUAUCGAGGAUUGACAGACAGUUACCAUGCCCUUUCGAAAGGAGUCAGGUUUUAAACCUAAUGGCUCUUUCAUGAUUAUAUGAUAGGUGGUGCAUGGCCGUUCUUAGUUCGUGGAGUGAUCUGUCUGCUUAAUUGCGUUUCAAAUUUUUAUUUGAGGACCAGGUUUUGGUUUGGGUAGUGGUCCUACGAUGACUGUGAACUGUCAUGUCUUCGGAUGUGCGACUAUCGGUCUAGGAUCGCAUCUCAGCCCCUGGGACUCUUUUGAACGCAACGGACGUGAUUGCAACCCCUUGUUGAGAUUAGAGGAGUCUCGAUAUUCAUUGGCCAAACUUACCGCUUCGAGCUUGCUCGUGCAGUUUUGUUAGCCGGUGGAUAAACUCGGGGGACUGCUGACUAUAACCAUUUCUCAAAACAGAGGAAGGUUGCGGCAAUAACAGGUCUGUGAUGCCCUUAGAUGUCCCGGGCUGCACACGUGCUACAAUGAGUGGCGCAAUGUGUGCAAUUUUGUAAGGGAUAACACACGAUUAUCAGCCUUUCCUUAACAGGGCGGGUAACCUUUUCAAAAUACCAGUUUGAUUUUAAAGCUUUGGGUCAAUUAGGGUGAUGGUUCGAUAGAACCAAUAUCACCCAGCUGCUACUCGUGCGCGCGUGUUAUUCCUGGUGACUCAUGGUGGGGACCGACAUUUGUAAUUGUCUGUCGCGUGUUAACCGGGAAUGCCUUGUACUGUCGAUUCACUAAGUUAUGGGGAAUACGUCCCUGCCCUUUGUACACACCGCCCGUCGCUCUUACCGAUGGCUUUGGCUGCGAGUAAAAGGGACUUUCGUUUUGGAACUUUGUCGAACAGAUGGGGCUAAAGGAAAGAGAAGUCGUAACAAGGC
rnacentral:rRNA from 1 species